rnacentral:lncRNA from 1 species
UGCUGCUUGUUGCUGACGUUUCUGCCCAAACAUCAUGAAAUGUGGAGAAGAAAGAACACUCAGAUGUGCCCUGGAGACUUUCCUUUUAUUUUUAAACAGUUUUUUUUUUUUUUUCCAUUGGGUUUGACCAACUCUAUAUUCGACUUGAACAAAUCUCAAGGAAAGCUUCCAAUUAUGGGGAACAAGUCCUCUGAAGUGGCUAAAUUCCCACACACACAAAAGAAAAGAUGAGUCUAUGCCCAGGACCACCAGAUAAUUGAGUCCUGUACAAAAGCUUCUGACUAAACAAUGUGCUCUGGCUCAGGACUAUACAGAGAAAAGACACAGUUUUUAAAUUGAUCAUUCAAAAGGAAACAUAUUUAUGAUAUUUGCUCCAUGAUAUGUAUCUCUCAUCUGUUAGCUCAGGCAGAAUUAAAAUGCUAGACAAUAA